rnacentral:rRNA from 1 species
GGUUAAGCGACUAAGCGUACACGGUGGAUGCCCUGGCAGUCAGAGGCGAUGAAGGGCGUGCUAAUCUGCGAUAAGCGCCGGUAAGGUGAUAUGAACCGUUAUAACCGGCGAUACCCGAAUGGGGAAACCCAGUGUGACUCGUCACACUAUCAUUAACUGAAUCCAUAGGUUAAUGAGGCGAACCGGGGGAACUGAAACAUCUAAGUACCCCGAGGAAAAGAAAUCAACCGAGAUUCCCCCAGUAGCGGCGAGCGAACGGGGAGGAGCCCAGAGCCUGAAUCAGCAUGUGUGUUAGUGGAAGCGUCUGGAAAGGCGCGCGAUACAGGGUGACAGCCCCGUACACAAAAGCGCAUGUGC